rnacentral:rRNA from 1 species
AAUGAACGCUGGCGGCAUGCCUAACACAUGCAAGUCGAACGAAGGCUUCGGCCUUAUUGGCGCACGGGUGCGUCACGCGUGGGAAUCUGCCCUCGGGUUCGGCAUAACAGUUAGAAAUGACUGCUAACACCGGAUGAUGUCUUAAGACCAAAGAUUUAUCGCCCAAGGAGGAGCGCGAGUAGGAUUAGCUUGUUCGUUUGGUAAAGGCCUACCAAGGCGAGGAUCCUUAGCUGGUCUGUGAGGAUGAUCAGCGACACUGGGAGUGAGACACGGCCCGGACUCCUACGGGAGGCGGCAGUGGGGAAUAGUGGAAAGUGGGGGGAAGGAUGAUGCAGCUAUGCCGGGUGAGUGAUGAAGGCAUUAGGGUUGUAAAGCUCUUUUACCCGUGAUGAUAUUGACAGUACCGGAAGAGUAAGCUACGGCUAACUUCGUG